GGUUGGCUGCGGCGGCGGCGGCGGCGGCCUGGAGGGCGGUAGUGGUUUUCACUCUGCGCGAUUAGUUUCCUCCGCCCCCUCCCGUUGGACGCUGUUGUGUGGUCGCCUUAAAAAAAUCAACUUUAUUGUUCAUCGGCCCCACCUCCCGCCGCGGAGCGCAUCCUCAGGAUGCACUGAGGCGGAGGGUAGGGGCGGGGGCGGGUCGCGGUCCCUCUCCUCCGAGAGCCCGGCCGGAGGGGAGGGAGUCACGAUGUCCGGGAGCCGCCAGGCCGGGUCGGGCUCCGCUGGGACCAGCCCUGGCUCCUCGGCGGCCUCCUCGGUGACUUCCGCCUCCUCGUCCUUAUCCUCUUCCCCGUCGCCCCCUUCCGUGGCGGCUUCGGCCGCGGCGCUGGGGUCCGGAGGUGCAGCCCAGGCCGCGGGCUCCGGCGGCCUCGGGGGCCCGGGGCGGCCUGUGUUGGUGGCGGCCGCCGUGUCCGGCAGCGGCGGCGGCGGCGGCGGGGUGGUGUCCGCGGGCCUGUCCCGACUUAGCUGCCCGGCCCGGCCCAGCGCCGGCGGAGGAGGCGGCAGCUCCAGCCUCGGCAGCGGCAGCAGAAAGCGACCUCUGCUCGCCCCCCUCUGCAACGGGCUCAUCAACUCUUACGAGGACAAAAGCAACGACUUUGUCUGCCCUAUCUGCUUUGAUAUGAUCGAGGAAGCAUACAUGACGAAAUGUGGCCACAGCUUUUGCUACAAGUGUAUUCAUCAGAGUUUGGAGGACAAUAAUAGAUGUCCCAAGUGUAACUAUGUUGUGGAUAAUAUUGACCAUCUGUAUCCUAAUUUCUUAGUGAAUGAGCUCAUUCUCAAACAGAAGCAAAGGUUUGAGGAAAAGAGGUUCAAAUUGGACCACUCAGUGAGUAGCACCAAUGGCCACAGGUGGCAAAUCUUUCAAGAUUUACUGGGAACUGACCAAGAUAACCUUGAUUUGGCCAACGUCAACCUCAUGUUGGAAUUACUAGUGCAGAAGAAGAAACAACUGGAAGCAGAAUCACAUGCAGCCCAACUACAGAUCCUUAUGGAAUUCCUCAAGGUUGCAAGAAGAAAUAAGAGAGAGCAACUGGAACAGAUCCAGAAGGAGCUGAGUGUUUUGGAAGAGGAUAUUAAAAGAGUGGAAGAAAUGAGUGGCUUAUACUCUCCUGUCAGUGAGGAUAGCACAGUGCCUCAAUUUGAAGCUCCUUCACCAUCACACAGUAGUAUUAUUGAUUCCACGGAAUACAGCCAACCUCCAGGUUUCAGUGGCAGUUCUCAGACUAAGAAACAGCCUUGGUAUAACAGCACUUUAGCUUCAAGACGAAAACGACUCACUGCUCAUUUUGAAGACUUAGAGCAAUGUUACUUUUCUACAAGGAUGUCUCGUAUCUCAGAUGACAGUCGAACAGCAAGCCAGUUGGAUGAAUUUCAGGAAUGUUUGUCCAAGUUUACUCGAUAUAAUUCAGUACGACCUUUGGCUACUCUGUCAUAUGCUAGUGAUCUCUAUAAUGGUUCCAGCAUAGUCUCUAGUAUUGAAUUUGACCGGGAUUGUGACUAUUUUGCAAUUGCUGGGGUUACAAAGAAGAUUAAAGUCUAUGAAUAUGGCACAGUCAUUCAGGAUGCGGUGGAUAUUCAUUACCCUGAAAAUGAAAUGACCUGCAAUUCCAAAAUCAGCUGUAUCAGUUGGAGUAGUUACCAUAAGAACCUGUUAGCAAGCAGUGAUUAUGAAGGCACCGUCAUCCUGUGGGAUGGAUUUACAGGACAAAGGUCAAAGGUCUAUCAGGAGCAUGAGAAGAGGUGUUGGAGUGUUGACUUUAAUUUGAUGGAUCCUAAACUCUUGGCUUCAGGUUCUGAUGAUGCAAAAGUGAAGCUGUGGUCUACCAACCUAGACAAUUCAGUGGCAAGCAUUGAGGCAAAGGCUAAUGUGUGCUGUGUUAAAUUUAGCCCCUCUUCUAGAUACCAUUUAGCUUUCGGCUGUGCAGAUCACUGUGUCCACUACUAUGAUCUUCGUAACACUAAACAGCCAAUUAUGGUAUUCAAAGGACACCGAAAAGCUGUUUCUUAUGCAAAGUUUGUGAGUGGUGAGGAAAUUGUCUCUGCCUCAACAGACAGCCAGUUAAAACUGUGGAAUGUAGGGAAACCAUACUGUCUACGUUCCUUCAAGGGUCAUAUCAAUGAAAAAAACUUUGUAGGCCUCGCUUCCAAUGGUGAUUACAUAGCUUGUGGAAGCGAGAACAACUCUCUUUACCUGUACUAUAAAGGACUUUCUAAGACUUUGCUAACGUUUAAGUUUGAUACAGUUAAAAGUGUUCUUGACAAAGACCGAAAAGAAGAUGAUACAAAUGAAUUUGUUAGUGCUGUGUGCUGGAGGGCACUGCCAGAUGGGCUGCUGAUACACCUAUAGAGUGCACUCCGCCAGCUGCCAUUCAGGAGUCCAAUGUGCUGAUUGCUGCUAACAGUCAGGGUACAAUUAAGGUGCUGGAGUUGGUAUGAAAGGUUUACUCAAGUUAAUUUGUACAUGGUCCUGCUGAAGUAUAUCUGCAGCCAACAGUGAAUGAAGAUAGAGACUAUCACGACAAGUCUCUCCCCGACAUCAUUAUGGGUUUUGAAUUUGUUUUGAGUAUUUUUUUUCUUUUACUUUUUCCCCUCCUUUAUGCCCUUUGGGACAUUGGGAAUGCCCAGUGAACUCUGCACCAUCAAUGUAACUCUGUGGACUUUGCUGCUGUUGAUGGUGUAGUUAUCUAAUUUUUGUGAUAGGGAAACAAAUUCUUUUAAAUAAAAGUAAAUAACAAAAAGUAAUAAAAGUUUAUUGAGCCAUGGUUGAGCUGGGAAAGUUUGUAUCAGUUGUGGCAAGAGACAGUAAUCUCAAGACAGCACACAUGAGCUAUAGAAUAAAGUACCAGUGAGUAGUUUUUAAGGCCCAUAUUUCCCCACCUCUUUGAAAUUAUGCAUGUCAACAUAAAUAUAAAAGUACGUGGGUUCCUUUCAGUGAAUUUAAUGUUUACAGUAGGUGGAAAUAUUAAUAACUUUACCAUACAAAUUCCUUUCUUCAUUCUCUGACCAGAUUUCUCUUGUCAGCAAGUACUAUACUCCUCAGUCCCUCUACUUCUGACCAAAGAUCUAAAAUUUUGACUCGUUAAGACCACAUUCACACAGAAAGGGAAUGUCAGUCUGUGACAUAUCUCUGCCUUUGAAGUGUCACACAUACUAGUAUAUGUCAUAAGCUCUAAAUGCAGGCAAACCAAUUUAUUUCACACAAUCAUAGCUAUUAGUACCGUCCUUGGCAGAAUGUAUACUUAGUUCAACCCUUGCACUUUCUUUAAAGAGCCAAACAGUAAAUAUUUUCAGCUUUGUAGGUCAUAAGGUUUGUGUCACUAUGCAACUCUGUCUUGUAGCAGGAAAGCAGCCACAGACAGUAUGUAAACAAGUGGGCAUAACAGUGAAAUGGGCCAAGGGUUGGAUUUGGCCCACAGUCCCUGGCAUAUAGGUAAAGAAUUAGAAGCUCUGUUACCAAAAUGUCUAAGCCAUGUAAUCUCUUAAACUGUCUAGUUACUUUUCUGAAUAGUUUUCAGUUUGUAGAAGGAAAGAAGUUAGUAGAAUAGCAGGUCAAGGAAAAGUAACGUAAAGCCUUCUGUUUGAGCUACUUUAAAAAUCUGGCCCUAGCCUGUUUGGCUCAGUGGAUGGAGCGUCGGCCUGUGGACUGAAGGGUCCCGGGUUCGAUUCCAGUCAAGGGCAUGUGCCUUGGUUGCGGGCACAUCCCCAGUGGGGGUCGUGCAGGAGGCGGCUGAUCGAUGUUUCUCUCUCAUCGAUGUUUCUGGCUCUCUAUCCCUCUCCCUUCCUCUCUGUAGAAAAUCGAUAAAAUAUUUUAAAAAAAUAAAAAUUAAAAAAAAAAUCUGUAUGCUUUUUAGAAAAAGAUAUAAACAAAAUUAACUCCAUAUAUCUUUGAAAAUAGACACUUGGAGAAACUUGGUGUGAAUAACUAUAUGAAUGAUAAUACAUUUUGUAACCCCUCCAAUAGAGUCUGGAAAAAUAAAUGUGCUAUUCUCAAACACAUUAAUAUUCUGCGGCAAAAAACCCCAAAAAACAACUUUCACCUAACAUGGGAUUAAUAAAGGCUAAAAUUAGUCUUGCAUCAAUUCAGAUCAGUUUUUUUUUUUUUAAUCCUUAACCCAAGGAUAUGUUUUUAUUUUUUUAUUUUUUAGAGAGAGAGAGAAAACAACAUUGAUUAUUGCCUCCCACAUGCACCCCAAUCACAGAUCGAACCCACAAUCUAGGUAUGUGCUCUGACUGGGAAUUGAACCCACAACCUUUUGGUGUAUGGCAGAAUGCCCCAAUGAACGGAGCCACCCAGCCAGGGCCAGAAUAGUUUUUACCAUCCAACGAAUUUACCGCAAACUUAGGUGAAAUUUUUUAUUUUCAGCUUCACAGUUAUAUCUUACUAACUUCUGAGAGUUGAUAAACUUUUGGACUCAAUUCUGAGAGAAAAGGUCACUGUCACUCAAAAGUUAUGCCUGUCAUCAGAACAGUGUUAGUUGACCUUUGUUUCUAAGACUAACGAACGACAUUUUACAGAAGUAUAGAAGGAAUAUUCAAGUGUAGGUUCUUCUCUUGAAGAACUUCACGUAGGCAGAUGGGUCCAGAAAAAUCAUCAAAACAGGAAGCAGAGACUUCAUGUCUCUGAAUGUGCUAAAAUAGAAGCAGAUUGUUGUGGUAUUUUAUGUGAUCUGAUUUUUUAAAAUAUUUUAGUUUGGGGGGUGGUCAUGUUAAUUUUCAUGUGUUUGGAAUGAUGUAAUAAGGUACUUUAGUUAUCAAAGGGACUGAAUUUUUUUAAUCAAUUAUUUUAAGGCAAUACUUUAUUUAAAUUUGUGUUUUAACUUCUUGUAAAUAGUAAGAAACAAUUUUUAAAUUUGUGGUAUUUUUUGUAGGAUGUCAACAUCAAACUAUUACUAUUUCUUGGAAAAAUAACAUCAGUUAAAUAAAGCUUAAAGAUAAUGUACAUUCUAACACCCCCCAAAAAAACCACUUUAACUCAAGAAGAAUUUGGGUUUUAUCUUUCAGUCUAAUCUCUAUUUCAGCAGAUUUGUAGAGGGUUUCUUAGACACAACAUGUGCAUUUGAAACAUUAAAGAUUGAAGAACUUUGUAAGUUCUUAUAACAAGAUGGAGUUACUAGACAUCAGAAAAUUUAUGGGACUGAGCCACAGCUUCAGAAAGAUGAGCAUGGCUGGCAUUAAUAAACAAGGAAGAGACACGUAUGGGGUGAGUUUGAACAAGUAGAGGAGCCCGCUAGAUAUGUGGAGCCUUUUAGGGCAUUGUUGAGAAUUUAAAUUUUGUUAUAAAAGCAGUGCCAAGGAAGGGUUAAAUGGAACAACAUGAUCUCAUUUAUUGUGAGUGGAUGGAUGGAGCAAGAGUACAAGUAGGAAGGUGAUCAGUCAAGAGUUAAUGGUGACUUCAACAAAGAUGAUAGCAUGCUCUAAGCUAAAAACUGUUUCACCUUAAUAGUUUGCCACAGCAUUAGUUCCUAUAUCUGAGAAAGUCUUGAUUAAUUUUUAAAGUCAUUUUCUCAUAAGUCCUGACAAUGAAGAAUACAACUCAGCAAAUUUAUUUCUUCAGUGGUUAUGCAAUUCCGAACUAGCACUAAGUCACUUGGGAAACUCAUGACCAAAAUGUCUGUGUGCUAUUUUAGGGACACCACUUCUCUAAGGUAAGCAGUGCUAGAAACUACCUAGCCUUUGGUUCUAAACAAUCAGAUAAUUUCAUUGCUUUUAAUGUAGUUAUGCAAAUAUAACUGGGAUUAAUGGUCAGGAAAUAGGCUUACUUAGAAGUGAGACAUGAGGAAGUGUAAACUUAGAUCCUGAGCCUGUUGUGUUACAUGACUGAUUAACACAAUAGUAGCACCUUGUAGUUCCUCCCAAGGCAGUUAUUUACCAGCUUCUGUGUGGCUUCUGGUUAAUAUGUUAGGCAUUCCUAGACUAAAGAGAAAACCAUAAUGAUCAUUCUAGAAAUAUAUUGUUGAGCUCCUGCUUUGUGCAAGUGAGGCACUAUGUACUACAUACAAAAUAAAUAAGAUAUGAUCAAAAAGCUUAUUGUCCAGAGGGAAAGAUGGAUAAGUUUACAGUGUAUAAACACAUAAUGUAAAUUUUAGAUGUACGGUAAUGGGAAAAAUUAUAAACUAAAAUGGUAGGAGAUAAAGUUCAGUGGGAGUAGGGGUGGUUCCAUGAAUUUUUUUUCCUUGGAGGAGGUAACGUCUCAGCUGAAUCGUGAAAAGCAAGGAUACAUUCAAGACCAAAGGAAGCAAAGAAGAAGGCAUGAGUAGCUCCUACUGACCAAAGGUGGAAUAAUUUGAGCAACAAAUAAAUGAUAUAAAUGAUUGAAUGAAUAAAUAAAUGGAAAGGAGAGAAAUUUUUCAUGGAACAUAAUUGCCACUUCUAAAUAUGGGCUGUGCAUAGUGAUUUCCUUCCACAAAGUCCAGUAAGGAAGAAAAGAAAAAAAUUUGUAACCUGACAGUGGAGAAACCUGACAAAUAUUGCCAGAGGCAGUUGAUCGGUGUCAUCAUGAAAAGUUGUAAGUCAUGGUGAUGCUAGUAUAUACUCUUGAUAUGAGGUACUGAAAAUGGCAGUUCAACUUUGGGAUCUUCCCAAAAUUAAUAACCCAAUCUAAAUUU